CCCUUAGAUGUCCUGGGCCGCACGCGCGCUACACUGAGUGUCUGAGAUACGAGUCUGCCUGGUCCGGCACGGUCUAGGUAAUCGCUAAAAGACACAUCAUGCUUGGGAUAGAUUAUUGCAAAUAUUAAUCUUGAACGAGGAAUUCCUAGUAAGCGCAAGUCAACAGCUUGCGUUGAUUACGUCCCUGCCCUUUGUACACACCGCCCGUCGCUACUACUGAUUGGAUGUUUAAGCGAGGUUCUCGAACUGCUAGCGACUUAGCUUCGGUGAGGUCGCAGUGUGGGAAGUGAACCUAGCUUUGGUGUCUAGAGGAAGUAAAAGUCGUAACA
rnacentral:rRNA from 1 species